CCGUAGUAAGAGUAGUUUGGACGCACGGCAUUGAAUUCGACCGGACUGGGCGUGCUGCUGCUUCUCGGCUUCUCCCCUCUUUCCCCCUCUCCAUUCCGGAGCCGGAUCCUCCUCCGUUUCGUUUGUAUCUCAUCUGUUCUGCUCUGCUGCCGCUCUGAUCUGUAGAUCUGGGAGGAUCAGAGUCAGACAUUGGGGUUUUGUGACUAGACUAGAAGGAGCGCGUUAAUGUUGCAAGAACUGGUGCGUGCGGCAAUGGCGGCCGCGCCCGGGGACGUUCCGCCGCCCUUGGCCACCCCUGCUCUUCUUCCGCAGGCCAAAAGUGUUAAGGAAGACCCGAGUUUUCCCCAAGCCUCGCCGGUGGUUCCGGCCAUGACGCUUCCGCCCGACCUCGUCCGCCGCGUCGGCGACUCCCUCCUGUCCACCAACGACAUCGACUGCUACAUUCACUUCCGCGCCGUUUGCCCCGGCUGGCGCGCCGCCACCGACGACCCCAUGAGGGACACCUCCGACCCCCGCUUCCAGCCGCGCCGGUGGAUCGUCCUCGACGAGGACUUCCAGAGCGAAGGGAAGCUGCUCCUGCUGAACACUGAAAGCGGCCGCUUCCUCCACAGAAAGCUCCCGCUGCUCAGCGACCACUACGUCGUCGCCACAACUCGCAAUGGCUACUUGGUCCUGGCGGACAAAAGCCCUCCUCACUCUGCCAGCGUCCUCAACCCUCUCACCGGCGUCGUCAUCCGUUUCAUGGCGCCUGUGCCCCCCGAGGUGGGAUACGCUGCUGUCUCCUUUGCCAACUCUGCCCUCAAGCUCACCUUGUUCGCCGACUCAUCUCACGAGAUUUACUCGGCCUAUCCCGACAAUAAGAGUUCCGUCGUCCACAAGGUUCAGCAAGCAGCUUAUGUUUUCUUCCGUAAUGCGCUCGUGGGCGGUGUCUACACAAACACUAUAGGGCUUGUCGUGAUUGCUCGUUUAUGCAGAUUGCUGAUGACUCCAGAUGCAAACCACCUUUGUUUUCCAGUGGCUUUGGGUAGAGAAAUGCUGCUUGUCGGGAGUGCAGAGGUAUCGUUCUUUAUUUUUAAAACAGACAAAGACUUUAAGAUGGAGGAUGUGGAUACCAUCAACAACUAUGCCAUUUUCAUUGGUCAUCAGAGGUGCCUGGCUGUCGAUGCUGAUAAGUUCUUAGGCAUUGAGGCAAACUGCAUCUACUACACUGAAAAUCUGGGUUCGUCCGCUCGUACUCCCUCCGUCCGGAAAUACUUGUCAUCAAAAUGAAUAAAAGGGGAUGUAUCUAGAUGUAUUUUAGUUCUAGAUACAUCCCUUUUUGUCCAUUUUGAUGACAAGUAUUUUCGGACGGAGGGAGUAUAUGCAAGUGCGACAUCAAGGACAGAAAAGUAGAGAAGAUCUCUGAAACUGCCGAUUUCAUCAAGAAGGACAAGAAGUUUGUCCUCGUUGCUGACCGUCCUUCGACGAUCAUCCACCUUCUCUCCAGCUACACCAUCAACAUCCCGGACUCUCAGCUGGCCUUGCAACAGAUUCCAUAAGGCGCCGGCAGAUCUUCGUUCGACUCUGAGGAUCUCGAUGACCGACUGACAAGGCUAUGCUUUCAAUAAAGGAUACACUUGAAACUCUGAAGGAAUGCUUCGUCCGCAGCUUCAUGGACCUUCUCCUAUGAAUAUACUGCCAGAUCCACCAAGCAAUGACCCAAGAUUUAUCUCAUUUUUAUGGAGCCCCUAGAAUCCAUUCUGCCCAUUUGAUGCCAUUGUGAAGCACCUAUAUUUUCUGGUGAUGCUGAAAUUCUGAAAUUAUUUCUAGACACUCUCGUAUAUAUGCAUAUAAAGCAUAUAUAAGCAAAAGCUUGGACCCAGACUUUGCUCUAGUUUGGAGCAGAGCACCCAAAACCCCCCCUGUCCUUUUUGGCGCUUUGUGAAACAAGUGUAUUUUUCACCGACC